rnacentral:lncRNA from 1 species
AGUAACUUAAGGAAAUCAAGAUCAAUCAAGAAAAAAUCAUGAUUCUGCACUUUGACGUAUAAAUAGAAAAAAAUAAACAUGCAUAUCAGACAUGCAUGGUCAAACAUAUUGAAAAAAAGAAACAAACUAGAUGAAAACAAACAUUCAGAAGUGACAUGAAUAGGCUAAGGACUACACAAAGCAUGGUAAUCAACAAAGUCAAGUAGUCAUGGCUCACACAUAGAACUAGAGUGAAACCAACCUAACAGGUAAAGAAGAUCAACACACAGAAACAAGAAAGUCUUUAAACUCAUAGAAAUAAGUGAAGAGGAAUUUUAAGAAAUUAGGGUUGUAACAGAGCUGAGUUAAAAAGGUAAGAACUCAAAAUAUGUCAAGUUAAAUAACGGAAAUGAUCUAAACACAAAGACUCAGUCGAAGAAAGUAUACAAAAUAAACAAAGACAGUUCCAAACCUCAGAUAAAACAAAAAUACUUAGGGUUUUCAACACGAUGAACCAGGUAGAAGAAAAACAUAAACAAACUGUUUAAAC